rnacentral:rRNA from 1 species
AGUGAACGCUGGCGGUAGGCCUAACACAUGCAAGUCGAACGGCAGCACAGUAAGAGCUUGCUCUUACGGGUGGCGAGUGGCGGACGGGUGAGGAAUACAUCGGAAUCUACUUUUUCGUGGGGGAUAACGUAGGGAAACUUACGCUAAUACCGCAUACGACCUACGGGUGAAAGCAGGGGAUCUUUGGACCUUGCGCGAUUGAAUGAGCCGAUGUCGGAUUAGCUAGUUGGCGGGGUAAAGGCCCACCAAGGCGACGAUCCGUAGCUGGUCUGAGAGGAUGAUCAGCCACACUGGAACUGAGACUCGGUCCAGACUCCUACGGGAGGCAGCAGUGGGGAAUAUUGGACAAUGGGCGCAAGCCUGAUCCAGCCAUACCGCGUGGGUGAAGAAGGCCUUCGGGUUGUAAAGCCCUUUUGUUGGGAAAGAAAAGCAGCAGGUUAAUACCCCGCUGUUCUGACGGUACCCAAAGAAUAAGCACCGGCUAACUUCGUG